rnacentral:tRNA from 1 species
UAGAGUAGUGGUUGGCACAUCUGCUUUACAUGCAGAAAGUCCUGGGUUCAAGCCCCAG